rnacentral:lncRNA from 1 species
UCCUUGUUCCCUCUGUGGCUGGAGCCAGGCUGCUGUGACACACUCCACACUUGCCCCGGUGUGACAGCACUUGCUGUGCCAGGUCCGGAACUGAAGGCUGAUGUGAUUCUCUGAACACCUCCUGAGUGGGUACUGCUUACUCCACGUGACAGGGAUCGAACUUGGAACCUUGUGCUUGCAAGGAAGGCAUCAGGACCACUGAGCUAAAUCCCCGGCCUUGCAUUUCAGAACAGUGAAAGUUCUGAUUUGUGCUACAACAUGGAUAAACUCUGAGGACUUUAUUAUAAGUGAAAGUAGCAAGACAUAAAAGGACAAGCAUUGUACCAUUCUACUUACAGGGGCCCCACACCAUCGAGACCGGAAGAACACUGGACUGGAGGAGCCAACAUCGAGUCAGGCACCCAAGUGAGAAGAGGCUCCACAUCCGGGCAUCAGCCAGGAGGCCACACUUCUGGAAGCUGUGCUCAGGAAGGCCCCAAGCAGCCGAGCCGCCCUUUGGAGCCAGAUGCAGGGUCUCACUAUGUAGUUCAGACUGGCCUUGAACUCACCAUGUAGCCCAGGCUGGCCUCGAACUCAACAGUGAUCCUCCUGCCUCAGCCUUCCCCGUGCUGGGAUUACAGACUUGAGCUACCACACCCAGUGAAAUUCAAUUGGUUUUUAUAUUUACUUUAUAUCUAAUGAUUUU